CACGAACCGUACAAACGUUAUUCGGAAUUACUGGGCUUAAAGGGUUUGUAGGCGGCCAUGUAAGUCAGGUGUGAAAUCCCUCGGCUCAACCGAGGAAUGGCGCUUGAUACUGCAUGGCUUGAGGGAGACAGGGGUAAGCGGAACUGAUGGUGGAGCGGUGAAAUGCGUUGAUAUCAUCAGGAACACCGGUGGCGAAAGCGGCUUACUGGGUCUCUUCUGACGCUGAGGAACGAAAGCUAGGGUAGCGAACGGG
rnacentral:rRNA from 1 species